rfam:Gossypium hirsutum cultivar TM-1 chromosome 17, whole genome shotgun sequence
UGUUAAAAAUUUCAUCCAUUUCUACUAUUAAAAAUUGGUAUGCCUUGUAGAAUAACACAACAGCUACACAUGGCUGCCAUGUGCUGAUAUAUAGAGAUUAGUUUUUAACUGUAGAAAUUAAUGAAAUUUUUAACA